AUGAUAAAAGUGGAGCAAUGUGCGUUAGAAACACCUUUUUUACUUAAUAAAAGUGUUUUUGCAUUACUUUACCAUUAUCCUGCAAAGUCAUCUUUUUACUUCUUUUACUUGCAUUUUUAUGCUUUUGCUUACUAUUCAACAAUCUCAAACACCCUUCCUCUGGGUCGAACGUGCUUUCUUCCUUCUUACUCAUUUUACAUAAAGAUUAGCAUAUGUUUUGGGAUUAGUUUGGUCGAUCCCGUAAAUAAACCAAAAACCUUACUUUUUUUGGAGAUCAGCGGUUGUUUAC